rnacentral:tRNA from 1 species
GAAACUUGUAGUUUGGAACCACUUGUUUUUUCAAAAAAUAGACAAAGUGUCCCUAGUUCAAAACUUGAAGUCUCA